rnacentral:rRNA from 1 species
CAUAAGCCAGCUUGACUGCGAGCGUGACGGCGCGAGCAGGUGCGAAAGCAGGUCAUAGUGAUCCGGUGGUUCUGAAUGGAAGGGCCAUCGCUCAACGGAUAAAAGGUACUCCGGGGAUAACAGGCUGAUACCGCCCAAGAGUUCAUAUCGACGGCGGUGUUUGGCACCUCGAUGUCGGCUCAUCACAUCCUGGGGCUGAAGUAGGUCCCAAGGGUAUGGCUGUUCGCCAUUUAAAGUGGUACGCGAGCUGGGUUUAGAACGUCGUGAGACAGUUCGGUCCCUAUCUGCCGUGGGCGCUGGAGAACUGAGGGGGGCUGCUCCUAGUACGAGAGGACCGGAGUGGACGCAUCACUGGUGUUCGGGUUGUCAUGCCAAUGGCACUGCCCGGUAGCUACAUGCGGAAGAGAUAAGUGCUGAAAGCAUCUAAGC